rnacentral:lncRNA from 1 species
UCCGACCGUUUUCUAUAUGACACAGAACGACAUGCUGAACAUGGACAUGGUGCUGUCCCACCUUUACGGCUGCCUCCAAAGGUGCUAUCGUUAAUCUUUGUUGCCACUCUACAGUUGUCUUAUCCAACCGCAUCCAACUACUACCCUGAUGUGACAUACUAUUUCGUAUGCCUAAAAAUCACACACAAAAAUGACAACUUAAAAUUUCUAGUUUAUUUGGUAAUUGAGCUGAAAUUGCUAAGAAAAUACUAUUGUACACAUAAAACUAAAUAGAAGUAGUGUAUUGGCUUCUUCCAUCUAUACAAUCAAAUUGAAAUAUAAUACUGAAUAUAAAUUGAGUAGAUGAGAAACUAAGAAAGAAAAAUAUACUGGUAUUCAGUGGCGGAUAACAGUUCUCUUUUCUAAGCCCUAGACAAAUAUUUCUUAGGUAAAAUUGCACAAUUCAAAGACCUAAAAAUAUAUCUAUAUUAGUUUGUAUAAUCAAUCACCUAAUAAUAAUCAAACAAAACAAGAAGAUGCACGUACGUACUGCAGUCAAAUGGAACUUCGAUCGUAGG